GAGAAUCUUCCGCAAUGGGGGAAACCCUGACGACGCGACGCCGCGUGGAGGAUGAAGGCCUUCGGGUUGUAAACUCCUGUCAGCAGGGGAGAACAAGCUUUUGAUGAAUAAUCGAGAGCUUUGACAGUACCUGCAGAGGAAGCCACGGCUAACUCUGUGCCAGCAGCCGCGGUAAUACAGAGGUGGCAAGCGUUGUUCGGAUUUAUUGGGCGUAAAGGGUCCGUAGGCGGCCUGAAAAGUUGGAUGUGAAAUCCCACAGCUUAACUGUGGAACUGCAUUCAAAACUUUCAGGCUCGAGUGUGAUAGGGGUAAAGGGAAUUCCCGGUGUAAGGGUGAAAUCUGCAGAGAUCGGGAGGAACACCAGUCGCGAAGGCGCUUUACUGGAUCACUACUGACGCUGAGGGACGAAAGCCAGGGGAGCAAACG
rnacentral:rRNA from 1 species